ensembl:piRNA 21ur-10298 ncRNA
UUAUUGAUUAGGUUUCAAAUU